rnacentral:rRNA from 1 species
GAUGAACGCUAGCGGCAGGCUUAAUACAUGCAAGUCGAGGGGCAGCAUGGCUGUAGCAAUACAGCUGAUGGCGACCGGCAAACGGGUGCGGAACACGUACGCAACUUACCCAUAACUGAUGAAUAGCCCUCCGAAACCCGGAUUAAUACCCCAUAGUAUAUCGAUUAGGCAUCUUUUUGAUAUUAAAGAUUUAUCACUUGAAGAUGGGUGUGCGGUUGAUUAGGUAGUUGGCGGGGUAACGGCCCACCAAGCCUACGAUCAGUAACUGGUGGGGGAGCACGACCAGAAACAGGGACAGUGAGAAAGGGGCCCGAGUCCACGGGGAGGAAGCAGAAAGGAAUAUUGGUCAAUGGACGAAAGUCUGAACCAGCCAUGCCGCGUGGAGGAUGAAGGCCCUCUGGGUUGUAACCUUCUUUUAUAUGGGACAAAAAAAGACCUUUCCAGGUCGUCUGACGGUACCAUAUGAAUAAGCACCGGCUAACUCCGUGCCAGCAGCCGCGGUAAUAC